UACUAGGAAGGAGGAGAGUCUGGCUCUCCCUCUCCUAGAUCCCAUUUAAGAGCUGACUACCAAUGAGGAAGGAUCUCUUUCUGGCGACUGUUUCUUAUGGUGUUUACUGUGAGCCUAUGAUACUGGUUCUGCAAAAAGAAGCUUGUUAGCUAAGCAGAAUGUGUGAUGUGAAUUCAAGUGUACAUACUGAUUCAGGCUGGGCUGCUCGAGGAGGCAGAUGACGUAACAGGGUGAGGAAGUGUGAACUGAGCUGAACCACGUGUGUCCUGUGGAUUUCAGGGAAACAAAAGACUUCCCUAUGUGUUGGAUCUGGUUUACAUAUCAGGCCCUCUUUUCACCUCAGAAGGUUGUCACCUAGAACAACAGCCCUUCUUUUUUGUCUUGGUGGAGGAGAUCACAAUAUAGGAGACAGGUUGACUACCUAAGGUGACUCUCCAGCCUCUUUUUCUUCCUUUGAUAUCUGAGAAAAAAUAUGUAAUUUAUAUUUGCAUUAAAAGACAAUCUUUCAUUCUUUCAAUAAUCUGUAGUACUGGGACUUAGCAUUACCUUUUGGGCUUUUGAUGACCUAUAGUAUAAAGAUAUCUUUCCUUAAAGUAUUUCUAAUGUAUAGUAAACUCAAAAAUUUUCUUUUUAAAUGUUUUAAAAGAGUUUGGUAACAUUUAGUGUUUUUUGCUACUAAAUCUAGUUCUUUUUCGAGCUUCCUCCAACAUUACAUAAUUCUGUUUAUAAGUUGUUCUGUUUAAGUGGAAAGAACUGCCUUGUGCAUAAGACAUCUGAUUCACUAACCGAUCUUGCAUACAUGCAACUUCUCCAAAGGUGAUAAAGGAUUAUGUAUUUUGUAUGGAUAUUUUCUAUGAAAAUUCUUUUUUUGCCUUCAAAUAUACAAAAUCUGAACAUC